AUGCGAUGGGGUAGUCAGAGCAGACCUUGCUUCUGUCCACACAUACCUGUGCCCUCUGCAAGCAAGGCCUAAGGAGGAGAUGUGAGAGAGCUGGGAAGAGGCCCCUACUACUGCUCUCAGCAUCCAGAAAGUACAACUACAAGCAACCAAGUGCUUUGCCUCACUGCUCUUGGAGUGUUCCUGGUACACCUCGAAGGGCUGAAGCAGCAGUGCAGAGAUGUGCAAUGCUUCCACCUAUUAAAAUUUGUUUUGAAGAUAGCUGGUUCUAGGAUAUGUGAGGUCCAAGAAGUCGGCAAAUAAAGUGUCACAGUGCAUGUCUUCCUAUAUCCUGUCAAGGACUUCUCAGACCUCAGAAUUGCUAUAUUACUGUGUCGUAGCAGCCCCCUUGUCAUUGGUGCCCAAAGGUAGGGGUGCACUAGACCAUACUAGGCAGGCAAACUGGACUUGUUUUUCUAGUGAUUUCAAUUUUAGCUUCUGAGCUCCUUAAGAAAAUACUAACUAGUCUGUAAGUUCUGGGCAACAUACUGUAUAAGAUAUCAUCCACUCCUACUUGUUGUGCUACAAUCUACUUUCCACAGAAGUGUUUCUUCAGCCUAACAAAUUUAUGAUGUCUCUGCUUUCUACAUAAUUAAAUAUGUACA